UACGAAGGGGGCUAGCGUUGUUCGGAAUCACUGGGCGUAAAGCGCGCGUAGGCGGCUUUAUAAGUCGGGGGUGAAAGCCUGUGGCUCAACCACAGAAUUGCCUUCGAUACUGUAGAGCUUGAGACCGGAAGAGGUAAGUGGAACUGCGAGUGUAGAGGUGAAAUUCGUAGAUAUUCGCAAGAACACCAGUGGCGAAGGCGGCUUACUGGUACGGUUCUGACGCUGAGGCGCGAAAGCGUGGGGAGCAAACAGG
rnacentral:rRNA from 1 species